CUCAGCAGGUGCUAGUUGCUGGAAUUUGGAGGGCUACAACCUGGGCUUUGGUGCACACCUUCACUGAGCAUUAUGCUCUGGACUUGGCCUCCAGAGGGAUCACUGGGUUUAGCAAGGCAGUGCUUCAGUCUAUUCAACAAAGACUUUGUUCCUGCCUCCAGGCUGGAGCACAACAUUCUCUCCCCUGAUAAAUUGCAACACUUAAUGGAGAGGACACUUAGGAACUGGGCUGGGAUGAGGAGCUGAUUGUCCCAUUAUGGUACGCAGACUCUGGAGACAAAGGGAAAGAGGCAAAUCAGAGGAUAAUCUCAGGAUGAUAGGUUCACUGGCUGUGAAGGAAUGGAGUGUAUCUUCCGCUUUAACUGGUGUUAGCAGUACAUUAAUAGGAGAACUUCAACGAGGAGCAUGGGGGAAGACAAGCAGCAAAAAGGAGUAUUGUUAUGCUGGGUUCCAACCUGGAAUUGGGCAAUUUUGUUUCAGGAAGCAAUGAAACCUUUCAAGUAUUUGAGGCACUAGAUGCUCCUGACAGGAUGUCUAGAACUCGCUGUAAAAGCCAUUCUGGUCCUACAGCCUGCUCUAAGAUGGAGCCAAUCUUACAAAGAGAAUGAGAUGGCCAGCAGCUUCCACAAGGGGAAAGUUUGCGCCUCAUGGAUAUGGUCAUGUUGGAGUAUUGCACAAGUGUAAGUUAGUGGGGUCUGGGAACCAAAAAAGCAAGGGGAGCUCCAGAUACUCCGAUGAAGGAUUUAUUUCACCAUUGUCUAAACUGUCAAAGCUCAGGUAGACAACUCGUCAGGUGCCAUUGUGGGAACCAAGCAAUCACUUUGUCCAAUUACUGUUUCACUUCAGGUGUAGGACAGCCUAGGCAGCAUUGUUCUUCCCAGUGUAACCAAAGGUGGAGACCAUCCCUGUAGCAAAAAUCUUAACCCUGAGAGACUGAAUCAGUACGACUCCAUUGCAUUUUUCCUUCUUCCUCCCUCCGUAAAAGUGUUGCUGCCUUUGAAGCACUACUGUCUCUAAAGAGGCACUUAUAGUUCAAAGAAAACAGAACAUCUAGACUGACUGAGUCACGCAUGUUCUAAAAAGGAAAGGAUACAUCAGUAAUGGUGUCACUGAUGGGAAGGGACAGGGCUGACCAGGUGGGGCUUACCUCUGACCGGCUCCAGCACUUACACAGCGCCUCCUGCCCGUGCAGCAGGCUUGCCCUGAAGUCCUACCCCGGUACAGGUAAUUUGCGGUACUAUAUGAGAGAGGCAGGCGUAGGGCCGCUUUUCCUACAGCGCGCCAGCCCAGCCACCUCUCCUCUCACGGGGACUGGGUCCCGGCGCCGCGGCCAUUUAAGGGUCCCGGCCCCGCCCCCUCCCAGCUGGGAGGGGCGGGGCUCGGCGCACAAAGCCGGAAGCGGCCCACGCGCGAGUGGCGGAGGCUGCUGCAGCACCCGGAGCUCCUGAAGAGGAGUGAGCGGAGCGCGUCCAGCGGCGGCCGGCCGGCCUGGAGGGGCAGACACAGCCACGGCCGCCGCCGCCUCUCCGCUUACCCGGCCUUUUACUCUCUUCCAGGCGCGCCUCCGCCCCCGGUGUGGCGGACGCGAACACAGUCCAGUGCUGCUUGGCCCUUAGCCCUAGCGCAUGCUGCUUUUCAUCUCCGAUGCUAGCUGGUCAAUCACACUGUAUAAGGCUGAUUUUAAAAAAAUGUAGCACACUUGGGUGAGGUUUGUUAGAAAAACUCCCACAGCAGAACUGAAUUCCUUCUUCGUGAGUGCCUCCUCAUCAGUUAUGUAAUGAAGCAAAAAGGAAGACUUUUCUUACCUUGUUUUGCUCAGAUGUGUACUGUAUUUUUAGAGUAUCCAUAGCUCUGAUCAUAGCUUGUACGGCAGUAAAUAUGUUUUGAUAAACCA